rnacentral:lncRNA from 1 species
GCGCAAAUGAUUUGUUUAGCCAGAGACUAGCUUGUCAGGAAGCUGUGCUGUAAUAUGGUGCACAGAAAAAUCUGUGUAUCGUUACCUUCCAACAGGUUGUCAAAAAUCAGCAGGCUGAGGGAGUUUUCAACAAAGGGUUAUAGCUACUCUUACAGAAGACAUAAGAAGAUAUAUACGCAGAGAAGACAUCAUAAGACCUGAAGAUGAAAAACUUCUGAUCACAGAAGAAAGAUAUACAACAGCCUUGAAGCAUUCUGAGAACCCAGUGAAGGCAAUAAUGUCUCUUCCCAGAGAAAUUCACAGAUUGCUUUCUCAUUGUUGGACAUUUAUGGUCAUGACCCCAGCUUUUCUCUUCCUUGUGCAAGAAAGAUGACAUGUUUUCUACUGCCGCUUCAGCCACCUACAAAAUGUCAUGACUAGGGCCCACCCUC